GAUGAAGAACGCAGUGAAAUGCGAUAAGUAAUGUGAAUUGCAGAAUUCAGUGAAUCAUCGAAUCUUUGAACGCAUAUUGCGCCCGCCAGUAUUCUGGCGGGCAUGCCUGUUCGAGCGUCAUUUCAACCAUCAAGCCCCAGGCUUGUGUUGGGGACCUGCGGCUGCCGCAGGCCCUGAAAACCAGUGGCGGGCUCGCUGUCACACCGGGCGUAGUAGAUUUUAUCUCGCUCAGGGCGUGCUGCGGGUCCCGGCCGUUAAAAGCCUUUUUUUACCCAAGGUUGACCUCGGAUCAGGUAGGAAGACCCGCUGAACUUAAGCAUAUCAAUAAGCGGAGGA
rnacentral:misc_RNA from 1 species